UACGUAGGGCGCGAGCGUUGUCCGGAAUUAUUGGGCGUAAAGAGCUCGUAGGUGGCUUGUUGCGUCUGCCGUGAAAGCCCGUGGCUUAACUACGGGUCUGCGGUGGAUACGGGCAGGCUAGAGGCUGGUAGGGGCAAGCGGAAUUCCUGGUGUAGCGGUGAAAUGCGCAGAUAUCAGGAGGAACACCGGUGGCGAAGGCGGCUUGCUGGGCCAGUUCUGACGCUGAGGAGCGAAAGCGUGGGUAGCAAACAGG
rnacentral:rRNA from 1 species